UGAUCCUGGCUCAGAUUGAACGCUGGCGGCAGGCCUAACACAUGCAAGUCGAGCGCGAACGGUCUUCGGACCUAUUAGAGCGGCGGACGGGUGAGUAAUGCUUGGGAAUCUGCCUAGUAGUGGGGGACAACAGUUGGAAACGACUGCUAAUACCGCAUACGCCCUACGGGGGAAAGGGGGGGAUCUUCGGACCUCUCGCUAUUAGAUGAGCCCAAGUCGGAUUAGCUUGUUGGUGGGGUAAUGGCCCACCAAGGCGACGAUCCGUAGCUGGUUUGAGAGGAUGAUCAGCCACACUGGGACUGAGACACGGCCCAGACUCCUACGGGAGGCAGCAGUGGGGAAUAUUGCACAAUGGGCGAAAGCCUGAUGCAGCCAUGCCGCGUGUGUGAAGAAGGCCCUAGGGUUGUAAAGCACUUUAAGUUGUGAGGAAGGCUUGGUAGUUAAUAGCUGCCAAGAUUGACGUUAGCAACAGAAUAAGCACCGGCUAACUUCGUGCCAGCAGCCGCGGUAAUACGAGGGGUGCAAGCGUUAAUCGGAAUUACUGGGCGUAAAGCGCGCGUAGGCGGCUGCUCAAGCCAGAUGUGAAAUCCCCGGGCUUAACCUGGGAACUGCAUUUGGAACUGGGCAGCUAGAAUACAGCAGAGGAGUGUGGAAUUUCAGGUGUAGCGGUGAAAUGCGUAGAGAUCUGAAGGAACAUCAGUGGCGAAGGCGACACUCUGGGCUGAUAUUGACGCUGAGGUGCGAAAGCGUGGGUAGCAAACAGGAUUAGAUACCCUGGUAGU
rnacentral:rRNA from 1 species